AUGUAUAUACAUAAUUAAGUUUCGAUAGGAGGUAUUGAUGGGCAAAUCUCAAAUCUAAACAGAAUUUAAUUUUAAAUUCCAAACUCUUCUCAAAUGUUAUAGGUACUGCUAAAUGAAUUAGGUAGUAUUGAGUAUGGAUUAGACCGAUCAAUAUCCAUAUCUAUCCGAUAAAUAAUUAAAAAUUUUAUAUCUAUACCUAUCCAAUAUAUAUCCAUCUUGGAUUGGAUCCAGUUGAAUUGAAUCAGAUCAACUGGAUAAAAGGGGUUGGGUCG
rnacentral:lncRNA from 1 species